ACGCUGGCGGCGUGCCUAAUACAUGCAAGUUGAGCGAAUGAUGAAGAAGCUUGCUUCUUCUGAUUUAGCGGCGGACGGGUGAGUAACACGUGGGCAACCUGCCCUGUAGAUUGGGAUAACUCCGGGAAACCGGGGCUAAUACCGAAUAAUCCAUUACCUCACAUGGGGGAAUGUUAAAAGACGGUCUCGGCUGUCACUACAGGAUGGGCCCGCGGCGCAUUAGCUAGUUGGUGAGGUAACGGCUCACCAAGGCGACGAUGCGUAGCCGACCUGAGAGGGUGAUCGGCCACACUGGGACUGAGACACGGCCCAGACUCCUACGGGAGGCAGCAGUAGGGAAUCUUCCACAAUGGACGAAAGUCUGAUGGAGCAACGCCGCGUGAGUGAAGAAGGUUUUCGGAUCGUAAAACUCUGUUGUGAGGGAAGAACAAGUAUGAGAGUAACUGCUCGUACCUUGACGGUACCUCAUUAGAAAGCCACGGCUAACUACGUGCCAGCAGCCGCGGUAAUACGUAGGUGGCAAGCGUUGUCCGGAAUUAUUGGGCGUAAAGCGCGCGCAGGCGGUCCUUUAAGUUUGAUGUGAAAGCCCCCGGCUCAACCGUGGAGGGUCAUUGGAAACUGGGGGACUUGAGUGCAGAAGAGGAAAGCGGAAUUCCAAGUGUAGCGGUGAAAUGCGUAGAGAUUUGGAGGAACACCAGUGGCGAAGGCGGCUUUUUGGCUCUAGUAACUGACAGCUGAGGUCGCGAAAGCAGUGGGGAGCAAACAGGAUUAGAUACCCUGGUAGUCCAUGCCGUAAACGAUGAGUGCUAAGUGUUGGGGGGUUUCCGCCCCUUAUGGCUCCACUUAACCCAUUAAGCACCCCCCCGGGGGAGUCCGGCCGCAAAAUAAAAACUCAAAGAAUUUGACGGGGGCCCCCCCAAGCGGGGAAGCAUGGGGUUUAAUUCAAACCACCGCAAAAAACCUUCCUGGGUCUGGACAUCCCAGAAACUUCCCUAGAUAUAUGGUUUCCCCUUCGGGGACAGAUACGAGAGGUGGUGGGUGGUCGUCAUCAGCUCGUGUGAGGAGAUGUUGGGAUAACUCCCACAACGAGCACCACCCUUGAUCUUUGUUGCCAGCAUUCAGUUGGGCACUUCUAAGGUGACUGCAGUGAAAAACCGGAGGAGGGGGGGGAUGACGUCAAAUCAUCAUGGCCCCUUAUGACCUGGGCUACACACGUGCUACAAUGGACGGUACAAAGGGUCCUACCCCGCGAGGGAUAGCUAUCCCAUAAACCAUCUCGUUCGGAUUGAGGCUGCAACUCGACUCCAUGAAGCGGAUCGCUAGUAAUCGUGGAUCAACUGCCGCGGUGAAUACGUUCCCGGGCCUUGUACACACGCCCGUCACACCAUGGAGAGUUUGUACACCGAAGUCGGAGUGUAACCCUUGUGGGAG
rnacentral:rRNA from 1 species